UACGUAGGGAGCAAGCGUUGUCCGGAAUCAUUGGGCGUAAAGCGCGCGUAGGCGGCCUCAUAAGUCCGUUGUGAAAGUCAAAGGCUCAACCUUUGAAAGCCGAUGGAUACUGUGAGGCUAGAGUUCGGAAGAGGCGAGUGGAAUUCCUGGUGUAGCGGUGGAAUGCGCAGAUAUCAGGAGGAACACCAAUAGCGAAGGCAGCUCGCUGGGACGAUACUGACGCUGAGACGCGAAAGCGUGGGGAGCAAACAGG
rnacentral:rRNA from 1 species